GGUACUUCAGCUGAGCCUUGAAGGGAACCCAUUCCAGACAAAGGAAGCAGCCUGUACAAAAGCUGGGAGGUGAGAGAUGGGCCACCAAAGGGAAGGAACAGGUGGGCACUACCAGUAUGAUAAAUCCUAUUUGUCUUAGAAGGCAUGGAAGUCUAUGGCAUAAAUCAAUGACCCCCUCCCCCAAGUAAAGAACCUGGCAAGAUGCUCUUCACUCUGAUACCUUCAUCCAACAGAAAGUCUCUUUCAGUCAAAUGUGAAUUGAGAGACACAUUGAAGACACCCAGAAGAAAGGCAUUUCUGGACACUAUCAGAUGCCUAGCAGAAAGCUGCACCACCCUUAAGGGGAACUUCCUGAUGACCCCAUGAAUGGAAAAACCUUCAUGAAAGUCUGAAGCAUCCUUUUCUUAUCUGAGCUGUUUGAAUUUGAGUUCAUUUGUACCCAGAUUCAAUAAAUACUCCUGAGAUCCUG